CUCGGCAGCAGACGGCCAUGGGCCGCGUCAUCCGUGGACAGAGAAAGGGCGCCAGUUCGGUGUUCCGCGCGCACGUGAAGCACCGCAAGGGCGCCGCGCGUCUGUGCACGGUGGACUUGGCCGAGCCGCACAGCUACAUCAAGGGCAUCGUGAAGGACAUCAUCCACGACCCGGGCCGCGGUGCACCCCUUGCCAAGGUCGUCUUCCGGGAUCCGUACAGGUUUAAGAAGCGGACAGAGCUGUUGAUCGCCGCCGAGGGCAUCCACAGCGGCCAGCUCAACAUAGGCGAUGUGCUCGCGGUGGGCACUACGCCUGAGGGCACUAUCGUGUGCUGUCUGGAAGAGAAGCCUGGUGACCAGGGCAAGUUGGCUCGAGCCUCUGGAAACCAUGCCACGGUCAUCCCCCACAACCCAGAGACCAAGAAGAACCGAGUGAAGCCGCCCUCAGGCUCAAAGAAGGUCGUUUCUUCAGCCAACAGAGCUGUGGUCGUGUGGUGGCUGGAGGUGGCCGCAUUGACCAGCCCAUUCUGAAGGCUGGCCGUGCCUACCACAAGUAUAAGGCAAAGAGGAAUUGCUGGCCACGUGUGCGGGGUGUGGCCGUAAACCCUGUGGAGCUUCCUUUUGGAGGUGGCAACCACCUGCACACGGGCAAACCUUCUGCUAUCCGCGGAGAUGCCCCUGCUGGCCACAAAGUGGGUCUUACUGCUGCCCGCGGGACCGGGCGUCUCCGCACAGCCAAGCCUGUGCAGGAGAGGGAGAACUUGGGUUGA